CAUCUCCUCAAAAUGAGUGGCGGAGUCGCGGCGUGCUCUGAGCGUAGUAGAUGUCUUCUCGCUUUGGUAGCGCCCGCGGCAGCUAGCCGUUAACACACGAUAGGGCUUACCCCUAUCUCUUAGUGGUUGACCUCGGAUUAGGUAGGAAUACCCGCUGAACUUAAGCAUAUCAAUAAGCGGAGGAAAAGAAACCAACAGGGAUUGCCCUAGUAACGGCGAGUGAAGCGGCAACAGCUCAAAUUUGAAAUCUGGCCCUCGCGGUCCGAGUUGUAAUUUGUAGAGGAUGCUUUCGGCGCGGCGCCUUCCGAGUUCCCUGGAACGGGACGCCAGAGAGGGUGAGAGCCCCGUACGGUUGGACGCCUAGCCUACACAUAGCUCCUUCGACGAGUCGAGUAGUUUGGGAAUGCUGCUCUAAAUGGGAGGUAAAUUUCUUCUAAAGCUAAAUACCGGCCAGAGACCGAUAGCGCACAAGUAGAGUGAUCGAAAGAUGAAAAGCACUUUGAAAAGAGGGUUAAAUAGCACGUGAAAUUGUUGAAAGGGAAGCGUUUGCGACCAGACCUAUGCCCGGCGGAUCAUCCGGCGUUUUCGCCGGUGCACUUCGCCGGGUCUCUAGGCCAGCAUCGGUUCCCUUAGGGGGAGAAAGGCUCAGGGAACGUAGCUCCCCGUUUGGGGAGUGUUAUAGCCCUCUGCGUAAUACCCCUCGGGGGACCGAGGAACGCGCUGUAAUGGCAAGGAUGCUGGCGUAAUGGUCGUUAACGACCCGUCUUGAAACACGGACCAAGGAGUCGAACAUUUGUGCGAGUGUUUGGGUGUCAAACCCUCACGCGUAAUGAAAGUGAACGGAGGUGAGAGCCCCUCGCGGGGCGCAUCAUCGACCGAUCCUGAUGUCUUCGGAUGGAUUUGAGUAAGAGCAUAACUGUUCGGACCCGAAAGAUGGUGAACUAUGCGUGGAUAGGGUGAAGCCAGAGGAAACUCUGGUGGAGGCUCGCAGCGGUUCUGACGUGCAAAUCGAUCGUCAAAUCUGCGCAUGGGGGCGAAAGACUUAUCGAACCAUCUAGUAGCUGGUUACCGCCGAAGUUUCCCUCAGGAUAGCAGUGUUGUUCUUCAGUUUUAUGAGGUAAAGCGAAUGAUUAGGGACUCGGGGGCGCUAUUUUGCCUUCAUCCAUUCUCAAACUUUAAAUAUGUAAGAAGCCCUUGUUGCUUAGUUGAACGUGGGCAUUCGAAUGUACCAACACUAGUGGGCCAUUUUUGGUAAGCAGAACUGGCGAUGCGGGAUGAACCGAACGCGGGGUUAAGGUGCCAGAGUGGACGCUCAUCAGACACCACAAAAGGUGUUAGUACAUCUUGACAGCAGGACGGUGGCCAUGGAAGUCGGAAUCCGCUAAGGACUGUGUAACAACUCACCUGCCGAAUGUACUAGCCCUGAAAAUGGAUGGCGCUCAAGCGUCUCACCCAUACCUCGCCCUUAGGGUAGAACAGAGGCCCUAAGGAGUAGGCGGCCGUGGGGAUCAGUGACGA
rnacentral:rRNA from 1 species